rnacentral:rRNA from 1 species
GAUGAACGCUGGCGGCGUGCCUAAUACAUGCAAGUCGAGCGAACAGACGAGGAGCUUGCUCCUCUGACGUUAGCGGCGGACAGGUGAGUAACACGUGGAUAACCUACCUAUAAGACUGGGAUAACUUCGGGAAACCGGAGCUAAUACCGGAUAAUAUAUUGAACCGCAUGGUUCAAUAGUGAAAGACGGUUUUGCUGCCACUUAUAGAUGGAUCCGCGCCGCAUUAGCUAGUUGGUAAGGUAACGGCUUACCAAGGCAACGAUGCGUAGCCGACCUGAGAGGGUGAUCGGCCACACUGGAACUGAGACACGGUCCAGACUCCUACGGGAGGCAGCAGUAGGGAAUCUUCCGCAAUGGGCGAAAGCCUGACGGAGCAACGCCGCGUGAGUGAUGAAGGUCUUCGGAUCGUAAAACUCUGUUAUUAGGGAAGAACAAAUGUGUAAGUAACUAUGCACGUCUUGACGGUACCUAAUCAGAAAGCCACGGCUAACUACGUG